UCCCUGGAGGACUAGUGGUUAGGCCUCGGUUUUCUCACCGCCAUGGCCGGGGUUUGAUUCCCAGCCAGGGAA